rnacentral:rRNA from 1 species
UACGGAGGGGGCUAGCGUUGCUCGGAAUCACUGGGCGUAAAGCGCACGUAGGCGGCUUCUUAAGUCAGGGGUGAAAUCCUGGAGCUCAACUCCAGAACUGCCCUUGAUACUGAGGAGCUCGAGUCCGGAAGAGGUGAGUGGAACUGCGAGUGUAGAGGUGAAAUUCGUAGAUAUUCGCAAGAACACCAGUGGCGAAGGCGGACUCACUGGUCCGGUACUGACGCUGAGGUGCGAAAGCGUGGGGAGCAAACAGGGAUUAAGAAACCCG